rnacentral:rRNA from 1 species
UACGUAGGGUGCGAGCGUUGUCCGGAAUUAUUGGGCGUGAAGGGCUCGUAGGCGGUUUGUCGCGUCGGGAGUGAAAUCCACUGGCUUAACUGGUGGCUUGCUUUCGAUACGGGCAGACUGGAGGUAUGCAGGGGAGAACGGAAUUCCUGGUGUAGCGGUGAAAUGCGCAGAUAUCAGGAGGAACACCGGUGGCGAAGGCGGUUCUCUGGGCAUGUCCUGACGCUGAGGAGCGAAAGUGUGGGGAGCAAACAGG